rnacentral:lncRNA from 1 species
CAUCCACAUGACCAUAUCUCUCCUAAGAAUCUAAGCAAAAUAGAGUUGGAACAGGUAAAUAACAUGAAAAAUCUGGCUGUCCUUUACUUUUACAAUUUUUAUAGACACCUACGUCAUCUAAGAAGUAGUAUUCACCAAUUUUUACAUCAGUGAAACAUUUGAUGAUGGAAUUGGGAAACCUGAAAGCCUAAGGUGCCCUGACUCAGCUAUGGAGUUCAUUCACAUCAAGCCUCAAGCAUGACAUUCCUGAGACAUGGAGAUGAAGAUGAUAAAGGACCUCUCAAGUGCCUCUGAUGUGCCUUAAUGUUCGCCAUGCAUUAGAUGACUUCCUCCACAUUACAGAAGACAGCCUAGAAGUCCACUCUACAUUUGAAAAACAAAUCCAAAAAGGCAAUGGGAUGUCUGUGCCUACACUCAAGGAAGAGACAGAAUUCGGAGAGCAAUUUUUACCCUAAGACUCUCAGGACCACUGUUCGAAAGUCAGAUAAGGGAGAGAAAGAGGGCUAACUGAAUGAACUUAGAGAGAAAGCUCCUUACUUGCAUUAUGUACGUAUACAAUUAGCAAAAGCAUUGAACAUAUAUACACAUGUAAUGUUCUGUGACUAAAACCAGUUUGAAAAUCAUCAAGCCAGUAAAAUAAAGGCCUUUGGUAAACUGUAAAGUGAUUUACCAUUGCCAGUUUUAAACACCAUUUUGGCGGGUUCCUGGUUUCUGUGAA